rnacentral:rRNA from 1 species
ACUCAAAGGAAUUGACGGGGGACCGCACAAGCGGUGGAGCAUAUGGCUUAAUUCGAUGCAACGCGAAGAACCUUACCCAGGCUUGACAUGUAACUGCAAGCUCCCCAAAAGGAGCCGCUUUCGAAGGUGUUACACAGGUGGUGCAUGGCUGUCGUCAGCUCGUGUUGUGAAAUGUUGGGUUAAGUCCCGCAACGAGCGCAACCCUCAUGUUCUGUUGCCAGCGAGUAAUGUCGGGAACUCGGAACAAACUGCCCAUGUAAGUGGGAGGAAGGUGGGGAUGACGUCAAGUCAUCAUGCCCCUUACGCCUGGGGCUGCACAUAUGCUACAAUGGCUGCUACAAAGGGCUGCGAACUCGCGAGAGUAAGCCAAUCCCAAAAAAGCAGUCUCAGUUCGGAUUGGAGUCUGCAACUCGACUCCAUGAAGCUGGAAUCGCUAGUAACCGCAGGUCAGCACUACUGCGGUGAAUACGUUCCCGGUCCUUGCACACACCGCCCGU